rnacentral:rRNA from 1 species
UACAGAGGUCUCAAGCGUUGUUCGGAUUCAUUGGGCGUAAAGGGUGCGUAGGUGGCGCUGUAAGUCAGGUGUGAAAUUUCGGAGCUUAACUCCGAAACUGCAUUUGAUACUGCGGUGCUUGAGGACUGGAGAGGAGACUGGAAUUUACGGUGUAGCAGUGAAAUGCGUAGAGAUCGUAAGGAAGACCAGUGGCGAAGGCGGGUCUCUGGACAGUUCCUGACACUGAGGCACGAAGGCUAGGGGAGCAAACGGG